UACGUAGGUCGCAAGCGUUGUCCGGAUUUACUGGGCGUAAAGAGCGCGCAGGCGGCUGGUCAAGUCCGAUGUGAAAUCUCCCGGCUUAACUGGGAAACUGCAUCGGAAACUGAUCGGCUUGAAGGUGGGAGAGGGUAGUGGAAUUCCCGGUGUAGUGGUGAAAUGCGUAGAUAUCGGGGAGGAACACCAGUGGCGAAGGCGACUACCUGGCCCAUUCUUGACGCUGAGGCGCGAAAGCCAGGGGAGCAAACGGG
rnacentral:rRNA from 1 species